GUGAUCGUGGGGUAAUUGGUAACCCACCUCGUUUGGGAUGAGGACGAUGCAGGUUCGAGUCCUGCCGGUCGCACGA
rnacentral:tRNA from 1 species